GAACGCACAUUGCGCCCGCUGGUACUCCGGCGGGCAUGCCUGUUCGAGCGUCACUAUAACCAAUCAAGCUCUGCUUGGCCUUGGGGCCCGCUGUUCAGGCGGCCCUUAAAAUCAGUGGCGGUGCCGUCUGGCUCUAAGCGUAGUAAUUCUUCUCGCUAUAGGGUUUAGGCGUCCACCCGUCAGAACCUAAAUUUUUCAAGGUUGACCUCGGAUCAGGUAGGGAUACCCGCUGAACUUAA
rnacentral:misc_RNA from 1 species